rnacentral:rRNA from 1 species
ACUCAAAUGAAUAGACGGGGACCCGCACAAGCGGUGGAGCGUGUUGUUUAAUUCGAAGGUAAACGAAGAACCUUACCAAGGCUUGACAUCCUACUAAUCUUUGCGAAAGCAAAGAGUGCCUUCGGGCCGUAGUGACAGGUGAUGCAUGGCCGUCGUCAGCUCGUGUCGUGAGAUGUUUGGUUAAGUCCAUCAACGAGCGCAACCCUUAUAGUCUGUUGGAUUUCUCAGGCUAGACUGCCCCGGCAACGGGGAGGAAGGAGGGGAUGAUGUCAGGUCAUUAUUUCCCUUACGUCUUGGGCUACAAACACGCUACAAUGGCCGGUACAAAGGGCAGCCAAGUCGCGAGACGGAGCAAAUCCCAUCAAAGCCGGUCUCAGUUCGGAUUGUAGGCUGAAACUCGCCUGCAUGAAGCUGGAAUCGCUAGUAACGGUAGGUCAGCUAUACUACCGUGAAUACGUUCCCGGGUCUUGUACACACCGCCCGU